rnacentral:rRNA from 1 species
CUUUCACAAGGUUGACCUCGGAUCAGGUAGGGAUACCCGCUGAACUUAAGCAUAUC